rnacentral:rRNA from 1 species
UACAGAGGGGGCAAGCGUUGUUCGGAAUUACUGGGCGUAAAGGGCGCGUAGGCGGCCCGCUAAGUCGAACGUGAAAUCCCCAGGCUCAACCUGGGAACUGCGUCCGAUACUGGCAGGCUUGAAUCCGGGAGAGGGAUGUGGAAUUCCAGGUGUAGCGGUGAAAUGCGUAGAUAUCUGGAGGAACACCGGUGGCGAAGGCGGCAUCCUGGACCGGGAUUGACACUGAGGCGCGAAAGCCAGGGGAGCAAACGGG